GAGGGUAUAGCUCAAGUGGUAGAGCACAUGCUUAGCGUGCAUGAGGUUCUGGGUUCAAUCCUCAGUACCUCCU
rnacentral:tRNA from 1 species